rnacentral:rRNA from 1 species
UACGAAGGGGGCUAGCGUUGCUCGGAAUCACUGGGCGUAAAGCGCACGUAGGCGGAUUGCUAAGUCAGGGGUGAAAUCCUGGAGCUCAACUCCAGAACUGCCUUUGAUACUGAAGAUCUUGAGUUCGGGAGAGGUGAGUGGAACUGCGAGUGUAGAGGUGAAAUUCGUAGAUAUUCGCAAGAACACCAGUGGCGAAGGCGGCUCACUGGCCCGAGUACUGACGCUGAGGCACGAAAGCGUGGGGAGCAAACAGGG